UUGGAAUUCUAUUUGCAGUCUCCAAUCAAGCGUGUGACCAUGUGCAUUUGUUUUGCCCAGGACAAAAAUACCUGACACCCUCUUCCUGAGUCAUGUUGGCUGGUUAUACCAUCAUUCUGAACCAACCUUCUGUCCCAGGGCAUCUUGGGCUUGUCACGACUGAAGGGGCCCAGUCAGCAGGAAAAGAAAGAUUCACCAAUUUAUCUUGCAACACAGCUCUGCUAGACUUGGAAGUACCUCUAGGGCAUCGUGAGAGAGAAUUGUCUGGGGUCUAAGCCUGGUGUUCAGGGUACCAAGAGACAGUUCACAGAUUAUUUACUGUGACAUUUGCUUCUACAACCUGCAUCCUUCUGAGACAGUGCCUCCUUAAGAUCAAAAUCAUCAUCCUGAAAGGCACUGGCAAGGAGAUUUUUCUUAAAAAUACAAUGAUCCAUUCUGUGCAUUUCCUCCCUCCACUGGCCCUUUGGUAAUUAACUAGGUGAAAUAAGGAGAUAAUGGUGAAUCUGGAGUAACUGGAGCCUCUAGUAAAGUUGACUCACUUCUUGUAGAUGGAGAUGCCUAUCAAGCAAGAAUCUUCAGUUGGGAAGAUGCGGUGGAGAGAAGGACCUGACAGGUGGUGGAUAUCUACACAGUCCAAGGGACACUCAAGAGCCCAAAAGCAUCCACAGUUCA